rnacentral:rRNA from 1 species
UACGUAGGUCGCAAGCGUUGUCCGGAUUUACUGGGCGUAAAGAGCGCGCAGGCGGCUGGUCAAGUCCGAUGUGAAAUCUCCCGGCUCAACUGGGAAACUGCAUCGGAAACUGAUCGGCUUGAAGGUGGGAGAGGGUAGUGGAAUUCCCGGUGUAGUGGUGAAAUGCGUAGAUAUCGAGAGGAACACCAGCGGCGAAGGCGACUACCUGGCCCAUUCUUGACGCUGAGGCGCGAAAGCUAGGGGAGCGAACGGGAUUAGAAACCCUUGUAGU